rnacentral:misc_RNA from 1 species
AAGUCGUAACAAGGUCUCCGUAGGUGAACCUGCGGAGGGAUCAUUAACACGUAUCCUACGUAUAUACCAACCGUGAACUUGUUCUCCUGCUUUGAUUGGUAAAGUUUUGAGUGAAGUUGGCGUGAUAAUCUGAGCUAACUUCUCUCUCUGAGUAUUUUACUCGGGGCUUGCUGAUUAAGGCGUAUCUGUUUCCUUAUCACGAAACAAUUGUUUUAAUUUAUUAACUAUUUGUACUUCUUUUGUACUAAACACAUGCGACUUUAGUUGUUAAUGGCUUCGGCUAUUAUCUAACUACUGUUGUGUAAUUACGAAACGCUAAACAACUCUUAGCAACGGAUAUCUUGGUUCUG